AGGAAGGACUGUGCUGCAGAGAAGGGAGAAGAGCCUCAGCAGAGAGGCGAGAACAACACUGCAGCGAAGAUUACAACAAAAGGAGGGCUCGGAGGCUCAGUGCCUGGCUAUUUACUCGGAAACAUGAGGAACAGUAGGAGGAGAGUGAGAGCACAGGCGACCAUGUUCCGCUGCAAGGGUGGCCUGCAGAAAGGAACAGCUGAACAAAGUCAAGAAAUAGGUGAAAGAGCCCUGAAAAUGAGGGAAAUCAUCUUGAAUAGAGGCAGGCAUAAACUAGCAAGCUGUGGGAAAAUAUGUCCAGUUUCAAGCUGUCUGCAAUCAGCAUCUCAUCUUUAGAGAAGAUCCAGGGUUUGGAGACAAAUAAUAAUCUGUGAUUCAUCUUUGUG